rnacentral:rRNA from 1 species
UACGGGGGGGGCAAGCGUUGUUCGGAAUUACUGGGCGUAAAGGGCUCGUAGGCGGCCAACUAAGUCAUACGUGAAAUCCCUCGGCUUAACCGGGGAACUGCGUCUGAUACUGGAUGGCUUGAGUUCGGGAGAGGGAUGCGGAAUUCCAGGUGUAGCGGUGAAAUGCGUAGAUAUCUGGGGGAACACCGGUGGCGAAGGCGGCAUCCUGGACCGAUACUGACGCUGAGGAGCGAAAGCCAGGGGAGCAAACGGG